GAAAUGCGAUAAGUAAUUUGAAUUGCAGAAUUCCGUGAAUCAUCGAAUCUUUGAACGCACAUUGCGCCCUCUGGCAUUCCGGGGGGCAUGCCUGUCCGAGCGUCAUUACGCACCCUCAAGCCCGGCUUGUGUGAUGGGCCCCGGCGUCUCGUUCGCGAGACGGGCCCGAAAGGCAGCGGCGGCGUCGACCCGAUGAGCCCGAGCGUAUGGGGACUUCUGUCACACGUUCGCGGUGCGGACCGGCGCCUGCUUGACUUUUCUGAUUAUCCAGGUUGACCUCGGAUCAGGUAGGGAUACCCGCUGAACUUAAGC
rnacentral:misc_RNA from 1 species